GUGAAUCCUUUGCCAGCCCUGAUUUUGGUGUUGUACUUGAAUGUUGGACAUCUGACAAUGGGUCUCAGAGAUCCAGCUACUGGCCUUGGAGCAAUGCGGCGAGCUUUCUUGACUCUGUUAUCAUGUCGCCUCUGUUUUCUGGCAGGCUGGUUGAACCAAUUCCUCACGUAACGUUGCCAGUCUUUGUGAAAAUGCCCAUUUGGGAUAACGUUGUUCCUCUUCGGGGCCAUGUCUGUACAUUAAAACAAUCUCAAUAUUAGUAUAAUUUAUUGAGUAUUGGGAUCACAGUUAUCACACCGCCAAAGCAAAGUUGAUUGUGUUAUUAUUAAUGAAUAUAUGUGUGACGGUUUUAAACACAAUAUCUAAAGUGUGUAAACAUUUCUUCCAUUGCCUUCAUAAUCAUUAUUUAUGUCUUCUCUAUUGAUAAAAAUGUUAUAUGAC
rnacentral:sRNA from 1 species